CUGGAAGCCUGAGAAGACGCGCAACACGGCGACCGGCCAGCUCAAAUCGCGGGUGCUCCUGCCGAAAUCCAUGCCGAGGUCGAGCACCGGCGCCCCCCGAGUUCUUUCCCGACCUCGUCCCGUCCCUCUCCUCCCUCCUCACCCACGAUAAUGCCGACCUCGCCGCAGCCGCCGCCCACGGCUUCCACGUGAUCAUCGGCUCGCCACGCGGCAUGCGCCGUGCCACCCCAACCUCACGGCCGACGCGCACGGGAUGGGCGAGCUCCCCUCGCUCGCCCUCCUCCUCGCCAUGUAACCCCCUUCCGCACGGCUCGAAUUGGUGCGGCCGGAGAGGAAGGGAGUGGACGCCGCCCCGACGUACUCCACAUUACUGGUCACGCGCGAGGCAGCUCCCGCCGCCACGAGUGGGACUGGCACUCUCUGCUCUGGUUCGUCCAUCCCUCCCUCAGCUUUCCUCCUCGGUGCUCAUGUUCUGGUGCUAAACAGAUUGGGUGCGUCAAGCUGAUCUUCCGUUGAUUGCGCAGCGCAGAUCCUGUGACCGCAUCGUGGCAUUCAUCUCGCGGUCGAACGACCGCUGGACACCUCGCGUGACGGCGAGGUAAGCCAUGCGAUCAGCGGGAUGGCACGAUUUGCCGGUGGGGUUGCCGAGCGGUGGUGCAGUAGCUCGCAACGACAUGUGCGAUGAUGUGACAACUGAGAUGCCCUAUAUGUGUUUGGUGAAAUGCGCACAAGUCGUCCGAGCGUCCAGCGGCCUGAUCACAGCUGCGGUCAGCACACGCAACAUCUACCAUGCACCCACCUGUGGCUAAUGAAGCUUAAUAUUCAAGCUGGGUGGCAUGACAUAUUGGGGAUCCGGAGCGCACGAAGGACUAUAGGGCACAACGGCUCGCACGAAGGGCUGUAGGACACAGCGGCUCGCGUGCGUGGCAGGUCGGCGAUUGGGCUAGCUAGACCGCGCGUGGGGUUAGCGUACACUCAGCUUCAGCACUGGCUCUCCCUCCUAUCUGGCAUUGUCUGCUCUGCAUGGCACUUUCCACUUCCUAGAUGGCCAAGCAGGUGCAAAAGGAUGGAGAUGCCCAUCAGGAUUCGGUGAUCCCCUGGUGUGCCACAGGUGGUACACAAGCUUGCUGCAUCCAUCCGUCAUCAUCUGCGGUGCAAAUAAUUCGGUGUCAUAUGCUGGUUGUAGAGAAGGGCAACACGCACUAUGAUAGAGGACAAGGAGAAGUAACCUCAGGUAUUUCCAUAAAUCUUCAUUACUUACUGUGCUGAUGAAAUGUUCAGCUUCAAAGUAACCUCCCCUCCACUAUUACUGCAAAUGUGCUGGUUGCUUCCACUAGUUAGUUGUUCACAUCACCUAUGAUGAAACAACUGCAGUAGACCAAAACAGGAUUAUAGUGCUAGGCUCUACCUUUUAUGACAUGAAUUGAAUGCCCGAUUGCAAUUAUUAUAAGAAUAUAGUAAAAUUUAAUACUGGAGAUAAGAUUCCAACUUCAUCAUUUCAGAAUAAUAUACUUUGAUUACUAUACUUAAAGGGUAAUUACAAAGAAAAUCAAAGCUGCAGAUAAGAUCUUUCUUGCUUAGUUCAUUAAGAUGGCAAAUUUGUAUCUGGAUGUAUGCUAUUCAAACUCUUAACUACUGUUAUCUGUGCCUAUGCUUAUUAAUGAUUGACCCUACAUUUUUACUACCUUACAGUCAGAUUAGUUCAAUUGUAAAUUGUUCUGUUUGAGCCUGAUUGUUGGUUGACCCUACAUGGAUAGUAGUUGCAGCCUUGUAGAUAAUGUACAACGGGAGUAUGCCAAGUGAAGUACAUUUGUGCUUAUGUAUUGGACCUCAGGAAAACAUUAGCUAAAGAAUGGAUUCAAACAUAGUUGGUAUACAACAAACAUGCUUUGGCACGCAA